rnacentral:rRNA from 1 species
GGAUCUUUGAGAGCGGCGCACGGGUGCGGAACACGUGUGCAACCUGCCUUUAUCAGGGGGAUAGCCUUUCGAAAGGAAGAUUAAUACCCCAUAAUAUAAUGACUGGCAUCAGUUCUUAUUGAAAACUCCGGUGGAUAGAGAUGGGCACGCGCAGGAUUAGAUAGUUGGUAGGGUAACGGCCUACCAAGUCAACGAUCCUUAGGGGGCCUGAGAGGGUGAUCCCCCACACUGGUACUGAGACACGGACCAGACUCCUACGGGAGGCAGCAGUGAGGAAUAUUGGACAAUGGGUGAGAGCCUGAUCCAGCCAUCCCGCGUGAAGGACGACGGCCCUAUGGGUUGUAAACUUCUUUUGUAUAGGGAUAAACCUACUCUCGUGAGAGUAGCUGAAGGUACUAUACGAAUAAGCACCGGCUAACUCCGUGCCAGCAGCCGCGGUAAUACGGAGGGUGCAAGCGUUAUCCGGAUUUAUUGGGUUUAAAGGGUCCGUAGGCUGAUUUGUAAGUCAGUGGUGAAAUCUCACAGCUCAACUGUGAAACUGCCAUUGAUACUGCAAGUCUUGAGUGUUGUUGAAGUAGCUGGAAUAAGUAGUGUAGCGGUGAAAUGCAUAGAUAUUACUUAGAACACCAAUUGCGAAGGCAGGUUACUAAGCAACAACUGACGCUGAUGGACGAAAGCGUGGGGAGCGAACAGGAUUAGAUACCCUGGUAGUCCACGCCGUAAACGAUGCUAACUCGUUUUUGGGUUUUCGGAUUCAGAGACUAAGCGAA